UACAGAGGGGGCAAGCGUUAUUCGGAAUUAUUGGGCGUAAAGGGCGCGUAGGCGGCUUGGCAAGUGGAAGGUGAAAGCCCGGGGCUCAACUCCGGAACUGCCUUUAAGACUGCAUCGCUUGAAUCCAGGAGAGGUGAGUGGAAUUCCGAGUGUAGAGGUGAAAUUCGUAGAUAUUCGGAAGAACACCAGUGGCGAAGGCGGCUCACUGGACUGGUAUUGACGCUGAGGUGCGAAAGCGUGGGGAGCAAACAGG
rnacentral:rRNA from 1 species